UGUGUUAGUGGAAGCGUCUGGAAAGGCGUGCGAUACAGGGUGACAGCCCCGUACACAAAAAUGCACAUAUUGUGAGCUCGAUGAGUAGGGCGGGACACGUGGUAUCCUGUCUGAAUAUGGGGGGACCAUCCUCCAAGGCUAAAUACUCCUGACUGACCGAUAGUGAACCAGUACCGUGAGGGAAAGGCGAAAAGAACCCCGGCGAGGGGAGUGAAAAAGAACCUGAAACCGUGUACGUACAAGCAGUGGGAGCACGCUUAGGCGUGUGACUGCGUACCUUUUGUAUAAUGGGUCAGCGACUUAUAUUCUGUAGCAAGGUUAACCGAAUAGGGGAGCCGAAGGGAAACCGAGUCUUAACUGGGCGUUAAGUUGCAGGGUAUAGACCCGAAACCCGGUGAUCUAGCCAUGGGCAGGUUGAAGGUUGGGUAACACUAACUGGAGGACCGAACCGACUAAUGUUGAAAAAUUAGCGGAUGACUUGUGGCUGGGGGUGAAAGGCCAAUCAAACCGGGAGAUAGCUGGUUCUCCCCGAAAGCUAUUUAGGUAGCGCCUCGUGAAUUCAUCUCCGGGGGUAGAGCACUGUUUCGGCAAGGGGGUCAUCCCGACUUACCAACCCGAUGCAAACUGCGAAUACCGGAGAAUGUUAUCACGGGAGACACACGGCGGGUGCUAACGUCCGUCGUGAAGAGGGAAACAACCCAGACCGCCAGCUAAGGUCCCAAAGUCAUGGUUAAGUGGGAAACGAUGUGGGAAGGCCCAGACAGCCAGGAUGUUGGCUUAGAAGCAGCCAUCAUUUAAAGAAAGCGUAAUAGCUCACUGGUCGAGUCGGCCUGCGCGGAAGAUGUAACGGGGCUAAACCAUGCACCGAAGCUGCGGCAGCGACGCUUAUGCGUUGUUGGGUAGGGGAGCGUUCUGUAAGCCUGCGAAGGUGUGCUGUGAGGCAUGCUGGAGGUAUCAGAAGUGCGAAUGCUGACAUAAGUAACGAUAAAGCGGGUGAAAAGCCCGCUCGCC
rnacentral:rRNA from 1 species